UUCCUACGGGUGGCUGCAGUGAGGAAUUUUGCGCAAUGGGGGAAACCCUGACGCAGCAACGCCGCGUGAGUGAUGAAGGCUUUCGGGUCGUAAAGCUCUGUCGAUCGGGAAGAAGGUGAGCCAACAGAACAUGUUGGUUUAUUGACGGUACCGUUGAAGGAAGCACCGGCUAACUCCGUGCCAGCAGCCGCGGUAAUACGGGGGGUGCAAGCGUUAUUCGGAAUUAUUGGGCGUAAAGGGCGCGUAGGCGGUUUUAUAAGUCAGAUGUGAAAUACCUGGGCUUAACCGAGGAAGUGCAUUUGAAACUAUAAGACUUGAGUAUGGGAGAGGGUAGUGGAAUUCCUGGUGUAGAGGUGAAAUUCGUAGAUAUCAGGAGGAACACCUGUGGCGAAAGCGGCUACCUGGACCAAUACUGACGCUGAGGCGCGAAGGCGUGGGGAGCAAACAGGAUUAGAUACCCGAGUAGUC
rnacentral:rRNA from 1 species